rfam:Picea glauca, whole genome shotgun sequence.
UUCACAUCGACGAGAAGGUUUGGAACCUCAAUGUUGGAUAUUUUCCACCUGGGGUGGUAGUACAUUCCAAGGGUUGGGUUGUUCACCCAUUAAAGUGGUACGUGAGUUGGGUUCAGAACAUCGUGAGACAGUUCAGUCCAUAUCCGGUGCAGGCGUUAGAGCAUUGAGAGGACCUUUCCCUAGUACGAGAGGAUCGGGAAGGAUGCACCUUUGGUGUACUAGUUAUCAUGCCCAUGGUAGACGCUGGGUAGCCAAGUGCAGAGUGGAUAACUACUGAAAGAAUAUAAGUAGGAAGCCCACCCCAAGAUGAGUUCUCUUCUAUUCUUACUUCCCUGAGAUCCCUAGUCGUGAACACGGUUGGGACAAUGACGGGUUCUCUGUCCUUGCAGGGGAUGGAGUGACAAAAGUAUUGAGAAUCCAAGAUAAGGUCACAACGAGACGAGUCGAUUAUAAUUAUGAUAGGUUUCAAGUGGAAGUGCAGUGAUGUAUGCAACUGAGGCAUCCUAAUGGACCGAGAUAUUUGAACCU